rnacentral:rRNA from 1 species
AACGAACGCUGGCGGCAUGCCUAACACAUGCAAGUCGAACGAGACCUUCGGGUCUAGUGGCGCACGGGUGCGUCACGCGUGGGAACCUGCCCUUAGGCUCGGAAUAACUCCCCGAAAGGGGUGCUAAUACCGGAUAAUGUCUUCUGACCAAAGAUUUAACGCGUUUGGAUGGGCCCGCGUUGGUUUAGCCUGUUGGUAGGGUAAAAGCCUACCAAGGCGACGAUCCAUAGCUGGUCUGAGAGGCUGGUCAGCCACACUGGGACGGAGACACGGCCCAGACUACUGCGGGAGGCAGCAGUGGGUAAUAUUGGACAAUGGGCGAAAGCCUGAUCCAGCAAUGCCGCGUGAGUGAUGAAGUCCUGAGGGUUGUAAAGCUCUUUUACCCGGGAUGAUAAUGGCAGUACCGGGAGAAUAAGCUCCGGCUAACUCCGUG